rnacentral:rRNA from 1 species
CUCCGUAGGGGGCCCGCGUUCUCCGUCCUUACUGGGUUUCCAGGGCGCGUAGGCGUCAUGGUACUUUAGAUGUGAAAGCCCGUGGCUCAACCACGGGAUUGCAUUUAAAACUACCAAGCUAGAGUACAGGAGAGGUAAGUGGAAUUCCUAGUGUAGCGGUGAAAUGCGUAGAUAUUAGGAAGAACACCAGUGGCGAAGGCGACUUACUGGACUGAAACUGACGCUGAGGCUCGAAAGCGUGGGGAGCAAACAGGAUUAGAUACCCUGGUAGUCCACGCCGUAAACGAUGAGUGCUAGGUGUUGGGGGGGAACCCUCGGUGCCGCAGCUAACGCAUUAAGCACUCCACCUGGGGAGUACGAUCGCAAGAUUGAA